UACGGAGGGUGCGAGCGUUGUCCGGAAUCACUGGGCGUAAAGGGCGCGUAGGCGGCCCGGUAAGUAGGGGGUGAAAUCUUGCGGCUUAACCGCAAGGCUGCCUUCUAGACUGCCAGGCUUGAGCACAGUAGAGGCAGGUGGAAUUCCCGGUGUAGCGGUGGAAUGCGUAGAGAUCGGGAAGAACAUCAGUGGCGAAGGCGGCCUGCUGGACUGUAGCUGACGCUGAGGCGCGACAGCGUGGGGAGCAAACAGG
rnacentral:rRNA from 1 species